rnacentral:rRNA from 1 species
UACGGAGGGUGCAAGCGUUAAUCGGAAUCACUGGGCGUAAAGGGCGCGUAGGCGGCCUGGUAAGUCAGGGGUGAAAUCCCACGGCUCAACCGUGGAAUUGCCUUUGAAACUGCUGGGCUUGGAUCCUGGAGAGGGUGGCGGAAUUCCUGGUGUAGGGGUGAAAUCCGUAGAUAUCGGGAGGAACACCAGCGGCGAAGGCGGUUCUCUGGUUGACUUCUGACGCUGAGGCACGAAAGCUAGGGGAGCAAACAGG